rnacentral:rRNA from 1 species
ACGACAUCGAAAGCUUGCUUUCGAUGGGCGUCGACCGGCGCACGGGUGAGUAACGCGUAUCCAACCUGCCCAUCACUUGGGGAUAACCUUGCGAAAGUAAGACUAAUACCCAAUGACGUCUCUAGAAGACAUCUGAAGGAGAUUAAAGAUUUAUCGGUGAUGGAUGGGGAUGCGUCUGAUUAGCUUGUUGGCGGGGUAACGGCCCACCAAGGCGACGAUCAGUAGGGGUUCUGAGAGGAAGGUCCCCCACAUUGGAACUGAGACACGGUCCAAACUCCUACGGGAGGCAGCAGUGAGGAAUAUUGGUCAAUGGGCGAGAGCCUGAACCAGCCAAGUAGCGUGCAGGAUGACGGCCCUAUGGGUUGUAAACUGCUUUUAUAAGGGAAUAAAGUGAGCCUCGUGAGGCUUUUUGCAUGUACCUUAUGAAUAAGGACCGGCUAAUUCCGUGCCAGCAGCCGCGGUAAUACGGAAGGUCCGGGCGUUAUCCGGAUUUAUUGGGUUUAAAGGGAGCGUAGGCCGGAGAUUAAGCGUGUUGUGAAAUGUAGACGCUCAACGUCUGCACUGCAGCGCGAACUGGUUUCCUUGAGUACGCACAAAGUGGGCGGAAUUCGUGGUGUAGCGGUGAAAUGCUUAGAUAUCACGAAGAACUCCGAUUGCGAAGGCAGCUCACUGGAGCGCAACUGACGCUGAAGCUCGAAAGUGCGGGUAUCGAACAGGAUUAGAUACCCUGGUAGUCCGCACGGUAAACGAUGGAUGCCCGCUGUUGGUCUGAAUAGGUCAGCGGCCAAGCGAAAGCAUUAAGCAUCCCACCUGGGGAGUACGCCGGCAACGGUGAAACUCAAAUGAAUUGACGGAAGG